rnacentral:rRNA from 1 species
UACGUAGGGUGCAAGCGUUGUCCGGAAUUAUUGGGCGUAAAGAGCUCGUAGGCGGCUUGUCACGUCGACUGUGAAAACCCGGGGCUCAACUCCGGGCCUGCAGUCGAUACGGGCUGGCUUGAGUGCGGUAGGGGAGACUGGAAUUCCUGGUGUAGCGGUGGAAUGCGCAGAUAUCAGGAGGAACACCGGUGGCGAAGGCGGGUCUCUGGGCAGUAACUGACGCUGAGGAGCGAAAGCGUGGGGAGCGAACAGG